AUUGAACGCUGGCGGCAUGCCUUACACAUGCAAGUCGAACGGAUUCUUGGGGCUUGCUCCAAGAGUUAGUGGCGAACGGGUGAGUAAUGCAUCGGAACGUGCCCAAUCGUGGGGGAUAACGUAGCGAAAGUUACGCUAAUACCGCAUACGUCCUGAGGGAGAAAGCAGGGGACUCGCAAGAGCCUUGCGCGAAUGGAGCGGCCGAUGUCGGAUUAGCUAGUUGGCGGGGUAAAAGCCCACCAAGGCGACGAUCCGUAGCUGGUCUGAGAGGACGACCAGCCACACUGGGACUGAGACACGGCCCAGACUCCUACGGGAGGCAGCAGUGGGGAAUUUUGGACAAUGGGCGAAAGCCUGAUCCAGCCAUGCCGCGUGAGUGAAGAAGGCCUGGUGU
rnacentral:rRNA from 1 species